UUGCAGAUUUCUCCAGCCAAUUUAAUGAUUGUCUUUGCAGUCAGGUGUAUGUCCCAGGACUUUUUCUGCCUUCCUUUCUGCUUGAAAGCUAGGCAGUUUUGGAAUUCAAGCUAAUGCUUACUUUGGGGAGCUAUUGAAGGGGAGCUACCUUAAGGGCGCCAGUGGGAGUGCCAAGAGUGUUCUCUGUCUCGAUUUGGGUAAAUAUACAUAAGUAUAUUUACAUAAUUAAAUAUACAUAAGUAUAUUUACAUGCAAAAUUAAGUAAGAUUGACUAAUAAUUAUUGCAUAAUGGAAGAAAGGCAAAAGAACUGAAGAAGAAGAAACCGCCUCCUGUUAGUGUCAUACAGCGUGUUCUCAUGAGCCCUGUGUCCUGUGUGAACUGGCUUGGCUAGAUUCAGGCUAAAGUCCCAGGUGACACUUUGCACUUGCAGCUGCACCUCCCAGGAGGCUCAGAACAUCAUGUUCAACUGCUCCUGAUA
rnacentral:lncRNA from 1 species